CAGUCGCCACGGGAACACGUAGGGUGCAAGCGUUAAUCGGAAUUACUGGGCGUAAAGCGUGCGUAGGUGGUGGUUUAAGUCCGUUGUGAAAGCCCUGGGCUCAACCUGGGAAUUGCAGUGGAUACUGGGUCACUAGAGUGUGGUAGAGGAUAGUGGAAUUUCCGGUGUAGCAGUGAAAUGCGUAGAGAUCGGAAGGAACAUCUGUGGCGAAGGCGACUAUCUGGGCCAACACUGACACUGAGGCACGAAAGCGUGGGGAGCAAACAGGAUUAGAUACCCCUGUAGUCCCUGUCUCUUAUAC
rnacentral:rRNA from 1 species